UAGGGAAUAUUGCAAAAUGGGCGAAAGCCCGAUGCAGCAACGCCGCGUGGGCGAUGAAGGCCUUCGGGUCGUAAAGCCCUUUUUGAGGGGAUGAGGAAGGACAGUACCCUCAGAAUAAGCCUCGGCUAACUACGUGCCAGCAGCCGCGGUAAAACGUAGGAGGCGAGCGUUAUCCGGAUUUACUGGGCGUAAAGCGCGUGCAGGCGGAUUGGAGAGUUGGAUGUGAAAGCUCCCGGCUUAACUGGGAGAGGUCGUUCAAUACUUCCAGUCUUGAGUGCAGUAGAGGGAAGUGGAAUUCCGGGUGUAGUGGUGAAAUGCGUAGAUAUCCGGAGGAACACCAGUGGCGAAAGCGGCUUCCUAGACUGUAACUGACGCUCAGACGCGAAAGCUAGGGUAGCAAAC
rnacentral:rRNA from 1 species